UUUCAAUCUUCUUCUUUCUUCUCCUCUUUCUCUCUUCCCCUCUAACUAUUGUUGCCAUUGUGUCCAAUCUUCACUGUCAUCACCUUUCCUUUAACUCCUCACUCUUCCAAUUUCACCACCUCUCCGUUCCCUCUCACUCCUCACCAUUGCAAAAAGAGGAAUCACUAUCGUAACCCAAUUUAGGGUUUUAGUUUUCUUUUAAAUUAAUAAAAAACCAGAAAAAUCAAACGUUGCUUUGUUUGGUUUAGCUUUGCUUGCUUUCGGUAUAUUUGAUACCCUUCUUUGCUUUUCAAUUCAUUUACCCAUUUAUUGCUUCACCUUCUCUAAUUUUCUCAGGAACCAAACAGGGGAAAUUUGGGUUUUUGUUCUGAAAAUUAAAUGACUUUCAAUGAUGACGAGGGAGGAGAAGUUGGGAAUUUUACAUACCUUUCUAGUGUUAUUGGUUGCUGUUAUUCUCAAACAAGUUGGCACUUUUUUAAUGGAUAAGGAUGAAAGAUAGUUGCACGUGCAAAAAGCUUGUUCCGAUGGCAAUUGAUAAGGCAAGGGAAGUGAAAGGGUUUCCCUGUAGGUGGAAGAUGAUAAUUUCGAAACUCAAGCGAAUCCCUUUAUGUCUAUUGGACUUGCCGACCCAUCCUUGCUUUUCGAAAAAUGCUCUUUGUAAGGAACAGUUACAGGCUAUUUCGAAAACAAAGUUUUUGCAUUUUUGGAAGUUAUGCAUACUUUUAAUUUUAAAUUUUUAUAAUUUUCAAAAAUAGAUUAUGAUUUUUUUUAGUUUUUUUAA